GACGAACGCUGGCGGCGUGCUUAACACAUGCAAGUCGAACGGGAGGAAAAGAGAAGCUUGCUUCUUUUUGAAUCUAGUGGCAAACGGGUGAGUAACACGUAAACAACCUGCCUUCAGGAUGGGGACAACAGACGGAAACGACUGCUAAUACCGAAUGUGUUCCGGAGACCGCAUGAUUUCCGGAAGAAAGGAUGGCCUCUAUUUAUAAGCUAUCGCCUGAAGAGGGGUUUGCGUCUGAUUAGGCAGUUGGUGAGGUAACGGCCCACCAAACCUACGAUCAGUAGCCGGUCUGAGAGGAUGAACGGCCACACUGGAACUGAGACACGGUCCAGACUCCUACGGGAGGCAGCAGUGGGGAAUCUUCCGCAAUGGACGAAAGUCUGACGGAGCAACGCCGCGUGAGUGAUGACGGCCUUCGGGUUGUAAAGCUCUGUGAUCGGGGACGAAUGGCUGGUAUGCUAAUACCAUAUCAGAGUGACGGUACCCGAAUAGCAAGCCACGGCUAACU
rnacentral:rRNA from 1 species